CUGGGUGUUUGGUAGUGGAUAAAGCUAGUUGCCCAGCGGGACAAGGGGGGAAAGGCAGUGGGAAGAGUUAACGGGACUUUGAAGUUUGUAUCUUGGACAACUGGAUGGAUGUUAAUUCCCUUGACUCAGCUUUGGAAGCAGGAGGAGGACAGGCUGGGAAUGGAAGCAGUAAUGAGUCUUGGUUUGAACUGCCUUCGAGACAUCCAGGGAGAGAAGGGCAGUCAUAGUUCAGGUGAAAGGUUAGGAUUGAAAAUAUGCAUUUGGGAAUUCGAGUAUUCCCUGGUGGCUGAAGCCCCAACGGUGGAUGAAAAUGAGUUACUCUGAAGAAAUUUGAUGGGUAGUUGGAGGAGGAGGAGUCUGUGAAGGCUCCUGAGAACAGUCAGAGGAAAAAAGGAGAUCAAGAAAGAGAGAUGGCCUGGAAGCCAAGAAAAAGAUUUUGGUUUUUUUUUAAGAGUACCUUGUUGAAUUAAUUAAUUAAUUAAUUAAUUAAUUUUGAGGAAGAUUAGCCCUGAGCUAGCUACUGCCAGUCCUCCUCUUUUUGCUGAGGAAGCCUGGCCCUGAGCUGACAUCCAUGCCCAUCUUCCUCUACUUUAUAUGUGGGACGCCUACCACAGCAUGGCUUUUUGCCAAGCGGUGCCAUGUCCACACCCCGGAUCUGGGCCUGUGAACCCCGGGCCACCGAGAAGCGGAGUGUGUGAACUUAACAGGUGCGCCACUGGGCCAGCCCCCAAGAAAAAGUUUUAAUCAUUUAACAUUCAUAGUUAUUGAGACCUACUGUGUGCCAGGCACUAUGCUGGGUACUAGAGACACACAUGAACAAGACACACAGGGGCUGAAAAAUGAAUGGAGGGUAACAAAGAUAUGCAAACAGGUCAAUUAAACAGAGACAGGGGUGGGGGGUGGCGGGGGGAUCUCCAUGAUGCAUGGAGAGCAGAGGAGGGAGUUUCCAGAAAGUGCUGCAGAGCAAUCCUGGAGGAUUUGGACUGAAAAGAAGCUAUUAAAAUGAAGGUCUGGGAGGUCAUUGGUAAUCUUGGUGAGAGAAGUCUUCAUAAAAGGUGGUGGCAAAGUAAGAUGAAAAUGGUCUGGGAAGUGAAUGGAAGGUAGUAAGGAGGAGUGAGUGACUAAAAAUUAUUUUUUCUGAUUUUUGUCAGUGAAUGAAAAGAGAGGACAGUGGCUAGAGGAGGAGGGUUCAAGCUUUUUCAAUAACAUUCAGGAAGUAGCCAAGAUUUAUUGAGAGCCUGUUGUGUGCCAAGCACCUUAGUAGGACCUAGAGAUCUGAGAUGCAGUCCUUGUUCUUUAUCUUACCGUUUAUUGGAGGACACAGAUAAUACCUCCCAUUAUCCCAAACCAACCGAAGACAGAGGGCAAAGGAACCUGGAAGGUGCAGUUCAUUGAGGACGGUCUCCUGGGGCGCAGAAGGCUGGAGAGUGGAUGGAGGGAAGGGGACAGAAAGCUACCAGCACCCACCUGAUUCAGUCAGGGUUCACUGUAGGAACCCCAAGCCACUUUACAAAACCAAAAGGAUAUCAUUCAGACAAUUCAGUGCUUCUGAAACUCUUGGAAGGGCUGGAGGAGUGGAAGUCAACAGAUUAUUGAAAUCAAGGUCACAUUAUUUGUGGUAAACAUUACUAAUGUUCAUUAAUAUCUGGUCCUCCUUUACUUCCUGGGCAUGUGAGAGUUAACAUUUCCCAAUUCCCUUGCAAUUAGGUGGGGCCGUGUGACUAGCUCUAGCCAAUAAAAUGUGGGAAGAAGUAAUGUGUGUGUCACUUCUGGGAUGAGACAGUGAAAAGCCUCUGAGCAAUUCUCUAGACCUUCUCUUCCCUGCCACAACAGUCAUGGAGGAGACCUUGGGUAGGCACCAGAUUGAAGCAGCCCAGAUCAGUGGGUCAGCACACGGAGAACAACUGCCCCCACCUGCAGUAAACCUUUUUAUCCCAGUUUUACUGAGAUAUAAUUGACAUAUAACAUUGCAUUAGUCCAAGAUGUACAACAUAAUGAUUUGAUAUGGGCGUAUAUUGUGAAAUGAUUGCCAUAAUAAGUUU
rnacentral:lncRNA from 1 species